CCUACGGGUGGCAGCAGUGGGGAAUAUUGCACAAUGGGGGGAACCCUGAUGCAGCGACGCCGCGUGAGUGAAGAAGUAUUUCGGUACGUAAAGCUCUAUCAGCAGGGAAGAAAAUGACGGUACCUGACUAAGAAGCUCCGGCUAACUACGUGCCAGCAGCCGCGGUAAUACGGAGGGGGCAAGCGUUAUCCGGAUUUACUGGGUGUAAAGGGAGCGUAGGCGGCAGCGCAAGUCAGUAGUGAAAUCCCGAGGCCCAACUCCGGGACUGCUCUGGAAACUGCAAAGCUAGAGUGCAGGAGAGGCAAGCGGAAUUCGUGGUGUAGCGGUGAAAUGCGUAGAUAUUAGGAGGAACACCGGUGGCGAAGGCGGCUUACUGGACUGUAACUGACGCUGAGGCUCGAAGGCGUGGGGAGCAAACAGGAUUAGAUACCCUAGUAGUC
rnacentral:rRNA from 1 species